ensembl:miRNA
CCAUUACUUAAACGUGGAUGUACUUGCUUUGGGAUUAAGAAAGUAAGUGCUCCCAUGUUUUGGUGAUGG